UACGUAGGGGGCAAGCGUUGUCCGGAUUCAUUGGGCGUAAAGAGCGUGUAGGCGGCCAGGUAGGUCCGUUGUGAAAACUCGAGGCUUAACCUCGAGAUGUCAUCGGAAACCAUUUGGCUAGAGUCCGGAAGAGGAGAGUGGAAUUCCUGGUGUAGCGGUGAAAUGCGCAGAUAUCAGGAAGAACACCAAUGGCGAAAGCAGCUCUCUGGGACGGUACUGACGCUGAGACGCGAAAGCGUGGGGAGCGAACAGG
rnacentral:rRNA from 1 species